AAGGGCACCACAAGAACGCGUGGAGCAUGUGGCUUAAUUUGACUCAACGCGGGAAAUCUUACCGGGUCCGGACACACUGAGGAUUGACAGAUAUACUAAUACCUCACACCACUCGUGGUAUGUUGGUACUGAAAGAUGCUAGUUCUUUCAUGAUUAUGUGAUAGGUGGUGCAUGGCCGUUCUUAGUUCGUGGAGUGAUCUGUCUGCUUAAUUGCGUAUCAUUAAAGAGACCUAGUAUACGCGUAAGACUUCGUUUACGGUUCGUGACCCCCUUCGGGCGUGUGUCGCACGUACGAGUCAUACGCACUGGUCUCCGAUAGCAACGAACGUGACCGUACUCUAUUGUUGCAGCGAAUGUAUGCACCUCGGUGUAUCUACCGCUGCUUAGUGCGUAUGCGUACUUCGGUGCGUGUCGUACAUUAAACUAUAGAGACCGCUGUAUUUUCUUUAAACCAGAGGAAGGAUACGGCAAUAACAGGUCUGUGAUGCCCUCAGAUGUUCCGGGCUGCACACGUGCUACAAUGAUCAUUGCACUGUGCAUCUAACCCAAUGUGCGUGGACGCCACGGUGAUACGUUUCGGCGUAUCAUUAGUUGGUCGACCACGCCGAACCUACUUCGAAAGUAAAAUUUUUAAGUGGGUAAUCCAUUAGAAGUAAUGACUCGCAUAGACCAUGGUACACUCUUUAUGUACGCGCAGGUUCUACCCGGCCGGCCUUCGUGUCGGUGCAGUGCGUAGCUUGUUGUUUCGUACGUACCACUCAGUAUUAAUUCAUACGUGGGGAUAGAUCAUUGUUUAAUUGUUGGUCUCGGUCUUAACUAGGAAUGCCUUGUACGGGUCUCUGGUUCAACAUACCACCCGGAAUACGUCCCUGCCCUUUGUACACACCGCCCGUCGCUCUUACCGAUGGAUUAUACUAUGAAUCUAUAGGACUGCCAAAGUUGUGCACUCGUGCACGCGCUUAGUGGAAAUAUAUAUGAAUAGUGUGAUCAAAAGGAAAGAG
rnacentral:rRNA from 1 species